rnacentral:rRNA from 1 species
GAUGAACGCUGGCGGCGUGCCUAAUACAUGCAAGUCGAGCGAACGGACGAGAAGCUUGCUUCUCUGAUGUUAGCGGCGGACGGGCGAGUAACACGUGGAUAACCUACCUAUAAGACUGGGAUAACUUCGGGAAACCGGAGCUAAUGCCGGAUAAUAUUUUGAACCGCAUGGUUCAAAAGUGAUAGACGGUCUUGCUGUCACUUAUAGAUGGAUCCGCGCUGCAUUAGCUAGUUGGUAAGGUAACGGCUUACCAAGGCAACGAUGCAUAGCCGACCUGAGAGGGUGAUCGGCCACACUGGAACUGAGACACGGUCCAGACUCCUACGGGAGGCAGCAGUAGGGAAUCUUCCGCAAUGGGCGAAAGCCUGACGGAGCAACGCCGCGUGAGUGAUGAAGGUCUUCGGAUCGUAAAACUCUGUUAUUAGGGAAGAACAUAUGUGUAAGUAACUGUGCACAUCUUGACGGUACCUAAUCAGAAAGCCACGGCUAACUACGUA